GGGCGAUUGGCGCAGCGGCUAGCGCCCUUCGUUCACACCGAUGGGGUCGUAGGUUCGAUUCCUACAUCGCCCA
rnacentral:tRNA from 1 species